rnacentral:lncRNA from 1 species
UUUUUAUAGGGAGUUAUAUUUAGCUGGAAUUUUUUGAUUUCAUCUUUUAAGUAUAUUUUUCUUUGAAGAGUCUUCUCAUUAAUUUUUCACUGAGUAAUUUUAUUGAAGCAGUUAGAAGAAUUUUAUACUUGCACAGAAAGCUUCAGAACUAAUUGGCUUUCUGCUUUAAAAUUAUGUGGGCUUCUAAAGGAAGUGGUUUAUUUCAGUUAAAAACUUAAGUAGUUCAGAAUGUUCUCAGAUAUGUCUUAAGAUUCUCUUUGUGUAUACACCUACACUGGAAAAACUGAAGCACUAAUUGCUUAAUUUAAAAAUAAUUUGCUUUAGACUCUCAAAACAGCCUGUCUUCUUUGUAUAGCCAGUACCAUGUAAGAAUUGCAUGAAUGUUAAAUAGAGUUUUCUUUUCAUCCUAAUUACCUUGUUUUUUUUAAACCAUAGAAAUUAUAAUCAGAUUACAUAUAUUUGUAUAUACUUUCUUGUUUCAUUCCAAGGCAAUUAUAAAUCCUUUUAAAUAUUUUUUUCGGAGAAAGAAUUGCUAAGUAUUUAGCUAGGGAUUAGGAUGGAUUAGAAUGGGAACUGAUAAAUACAGUUCAAUUUAGCUAGCAUUUA